UCUGACCGGUUCAAAGGUAGCGUAAUCACUUGUUCUUUAAAUGGGGACUCGUAUCAAUGGCAUCACGAGGGCCGCACUGUCUCCUCUCUCCAAUCAGUGAAACUGAUCUCCCCGUGAAGAAGCGGGGACAAAACUAUAAGACGAGAAGACCCCAUGGAGCUUUAAACUGAACAGCAACUCAGUCACACAAUCCCUUAUAACACACAGAGAUAUGCACGUAAGUUUUAGGUUGGGGUGACCGCGGAGUAAAAACUAACCUCCAUGACGAAAAGAACUAAACCUUUACCAAAGAGCCACCACUCUAAGAAUUAGCACACUAACGAACAAUGACCCGACAAUCGAUCAACGGACCAAGUUACCCUGGGGAUAACAGCGCAAUCUACUUCAAGAGCUCAUAUCGACAAGUAGGCUUACGACCUCGAUGUUGGAUCAGGAUAUCCCAGUGGUGCAGCCGCUACUAACGGUUCGUUUGUUCAACGAUUAAAAUCUUACGUGAUCUGAGUUAGGAACCGGAGA
rnacentral:rRNA from 1 species